rnacentral:rRNA from 1 species
CUUGAGAGUGGCGAACGGGUGAGUAAUAUAUCGGAACGUGCCCAGUCGUGGGGGAUAACGUAGCGAAAGUUACGCUAAUACCGCAUACGAUCUAAGGAUGAAAGCGGGGGACCGUAAGGCCUCGCGCGAUUGGAGCGGCCGAUAUCAGAUUAGGUAGUUGGUGGGGUAAAGGCUCACCAAGCCAACGAUCUGUAGCUGGUCUGAGAGGACGACCAGCCACACUGGAACUGAGACACGGUCCAGACUCCUACGGGAGGCAGCAGUGGGGAAUUUUGGACAAUGGACGCAAGUCUGAUCCAGCCAUUCCGCGUGCAGGAUGAAGGCCCUCGGGUUGUAAACUGCUUUUGUACGGAACGAAAAGGUCUCUCUUAAUACGGGGGGCUCAUGACGGUACCGUAAGAAUAAGCACCGGCUAACUACGUGCCAGCAGCCGCGGUAAUACGUAGGGUGCAAGCGUUAAUCGGAAUUACUGGGCGUAAAGCGUGCGCAGGCGGUUAUGUAAGACAGAGGUGAAAUCCCCGGGCUCAACCUGGGAACUGCCUUUGUGACUGCAUAGCUAGAGUACGGUAGAGGGGGAUGGAAUUCCGCGUGUAGCAGUGAAAUGCGUAGAUAUGCGGAGGAACACCGAUGGCGAAGGCAAUCCCCUGGACCUGUACUGACGCUCAUGCACGAAAGCGUGGGGAGCAAACAGGAUUAGAUA